rnacentral:lncRNA from 1 species
UUUUCUGUCAACUGUGUCUUCAAUACUCACUAACAGACUUCUCUGACUUUUGAUCGAACACUUGUUGUGUUACUCCACUGACUGAGAUGCUGAGAAAUUCGGAUAUGGACAGGUUGGGUGAUGAUGAAGGGUUAAGUUAAUGUUUCGACAGGAAUGGAGUAGGGGGUAUGACUGUUAGUAGCCCUAACCUCUUGUUGAACUUCUCUAGAACAGGUGGUGUGAGGACCGAUUCCCU